rnacentral:rRNA from 1 species
UACAGAGGGGGCAAGCGUUAUUCGGAAUUAUUGGGCGUAAAGGGCGCGUAGGCGGCUUGGCAAGUGGAUGGUAAAAUCCCUCGGCUUAACCGAGGAACUGCCGUCCAAACUGCUUUGCUUGAGACCGGGAGAGGUGAGUGGAAUUCCCAGUGUAGCGGUGAAAUGCGUAGAUAUUGGGAGGAACACCAGUGGCGAAGGCGGCUCACUGGACCGGUACUGACGCUGAUGCGCGAAAGCGUGGGGGGCAAACGGG